CUAUCUCCGUAUAACAGGUACAGUAGAUAUUAUUAGCUAGCUUUUUUCUUUAAUUUUUUUUUUUUUACACCAAUCUAUGAUUUUUUUUCUCUCUCCUUUACAGAUAAUCCUAUAUGUUGAUCUAUGACAUGUCAAAACAGAUUCAAGUCAGAUUGUGUUCUAGUGUUGAAGGGCAUUUUGUCGCUAGAGAUUUUUUCAGUUGUAACAUACCCACUUACUGGUAAUUGACCAUGCAUCAACAGCAGUCUGUAACAAACCCCCCAAAAAAGUCUUUUCUCGUAUAAAUGCUUGUUUGCACUUUUUUUAUUCAUAAUAUUUGUUUUUCAUUUAAGUGCUUCUCAUUUUACACAAGUUAUGUAAACUUUCGUACAUAAUCUUUGCACUAUUUAUUAUUUUUUAAGUGCUUACUUGUUCGCUCAUUGCAUAUUUGAAAAGAAAAGCCUUAAUAAGAAUUUUACAAGUAUCAUUUUAAAAAAUUGGUUGUCUACGCAUAUAUGCAUGUAAAUGUACUAUUAUCAUUCAUGAGAAAACACCUGUAAAUAAUAAGUUUCUCAGAUAAAGAAAGAAGAAAUUUUACACUCUACUGGUGCAUUUAAACUUUGCAUCAAACUUUCUUUCCAGCUAUUCAAGUGCUACAUGUAUUAAACUAAGUUUUCAAAAUUUAAAAAUGGUUGAUGUCAACAGAUGUUGGUCUAUUAGCUUAUUAUCAUGUGGGUUUUCUAGGGAGAAGAGCAAAGGGGGAAAACCUGGGGGAGAGGGUUUGAGGAAGCUGUUUUUGAUAUUAAAUUAUUCUUGAUCCAUCAAUACUGAAUACUGUUAAACCUUUCUACAUUACCAGUUCCUAUUUCUAGUCCCCGUUGUUUACAUAACCUGAUUGUUAAAGAGUGUAAGAUUGUUAACGAGUUCUACAUGGAACAGUGCAAAGUUUAUGAUUUCAACACGAGUUCAAACAGACUUUCAUAAACAAAUUCAUAAAUCAACAAUAUUAAGGUUAAGUGAAGAUUUUUUUUUCCCAUAUGAGGUGGAAAAGUGCUAUUGACCUUUUGGAAUGAUAGGUACAGUAUGUACUGUUAUUUAAGUGAAGGCAGUGUAUGCCAGUUUUGUUCAUUUAGAUGUUUUGAUGAAUUUAACCCAAGGUGACCAGAAAAAAUAAUGAACAUAUCUUGUAUAUUGUACUAUGUCUGGAGUUUUUUAUACAGAUGAAGUCCUGUGACUAUUUUUGUUAUACAUUAAGUGUAGAAGAAGAAUGAAUGCAGCUAGAAUGUAAUUGGUGAAUAGGUUGUGUACAUGAGUAAUAAUAAUUCUCUAGAUUUUUUUUUAAUUCAGUAUAUUUCUCCUCUACUUCAAAUAUAUGUAGUUCAAAUAUAAACUUGCCAUAAUUUUUUUUCUAUUUUUUAUUUUCCCAGUCUAACAGUAUGAUCUAUCAAAAGUAAUUCUUCUGGAUUUUGUAUGAAGAUUGAUGUGGUCAUUUGAAUGUAAAUUUCCUGGGUUUUAGCGAUUCUGAUAUUACAUUGUAUAAGAAGACCAAAUUAGAAAAACGUGGAAAGUCAAACUUAGUUGAAAUCUGCAUCCUCAAUCUAUUGUCACACCCCUGUCUGUAUAGAAGUAAAGAUGUGUAUGGAUUCCAACUAUAGGGAUCCUGAUGUGUAUUGAUCCCAGCUAUAGGGAUCCCGAUGUGUAUGGAUCCCAGCUAUAGUGAUCCCAAUGUGACGGGAUUGAGCAAGGUACCCCCAUAGUAAUAGUUAGAACCUGGCAGAGGAUGAUGUUAUAUCAGUCAUUGUAGUCAGUGAAUGCUGCCAGCACAUCGCCAUUCUUCUAAAGACAUUCCAAAACUACUGAUGUGUUGUGAAAGGGACAGAUAGUAUACAUGUACAGUUAUAUGUAUUUAUUAUGAUUAAACACUUAACAAAUUGC
rnacentral:sRNA from 1 species